rnacentral:rRNA from 1 species
AUUGAACGCUGGCGGCAGGCUUAACACAUGCAAGUCGAACGAGUAGAGGACGGGUGAGUAAUGCAUGGGAAUCUAGCUUAUGGAGGGGGAUAACUACGGGAAACUGUAGCUAAUACCGCGUACCAUGCGAUGAGCCGAAGUGGGUUGAGGUAGUUGGUGAGGGAAAGGCUCACCAAGCCGACGAUCCCUAGCUGAUCUGAGAGGAUGACCAGCCACCGUGGGACUGAGACACGGCCCAAACUCCUACGGGAGGCAGCAGUGGGGAAUAUUGCGCAAUGGGCGAAACCUGACGCAGCCAUGCCGCGUGAAUGAAGAAGGUCUUCGGGUUGUAAAGUUCUUUCGUUAGCGAAGCGUUAACUACAGAAUAAGCACCGGCUAACUACGUGCCAGCCGCCGCGGUAAUUC